AUGAACGCUAGCUACAGGCUUAACACAUGCAAGUCGAGGGGCAGCAUGGUCUUAGCUUGCUAAGGCCGAUGGCGACCGGCGCACGGGUGAGUAACACGUAUCCAACCUGCCGUCUACUCUUGGACAGCCUUCUGAAAGGAAGAUUAAUACAAGAUGGCAUCAUGAGUCCGCAUGUUCACAUGAUUAAAGGUAUUCCGGUAGACGAUGGGGAUGCGUUCCAUUAGAUAGUAGGCGGGGUAACGGCCCACCUAGUCUUCGAUGGGUAGGGGUUCUGAGAGGAAGGUCCCCCACAUUGGAACUGAGACACGGUCCAAACUCCUACGGGAGGCAGCAGUGAGGAAUAUUGGUCAAUGGGCGAGAGCCUGAACCAGCCAAGUAGCGUGAAGGAUGACUGCCCUAUGGGUUGUAAACUUCUUUUAUAAAGGAAUAAAGUCGGGUAUGGAUACCCGUUUGCAUGUACUUUAUGAAUAAGGAUCGGCUAACUCCGUGCCAGCAGCCGCGGUAAUACGGAGGAUCCGAGCGUUAUCCGGAUUUAUUGGGUUUAAAGGGAGCGUAGAUGGAUGUUUAAGUCAGUUGUGAAAGUUUGCGGCUCAACCGUAAAAUUGCAGUUGAUACUGGAUAUCUUGAGUGCAGUUGAGGCAGGCGGAAUUCGUGGUGUAGCGGUGAAAUGCUUAGAUAUCACGAAGAACUCCGAUUGCGAAGGCAGCCUGCUAAGCUGCAACUGACAUUGAGGCUCGAAAGUGUGGGUAUCAAACAGGAUUAGAUACCCUGGUAGUCCACACGGUAAACGAUGAAUACUCGCUGUUUGCGAUAUACAGCAAGCGGCCAAGCGAAAGCGUUAAGUAUUCCACCUGGGGAGUGCGCCGGCAACGGUGAAACUCAAAGGAAUUGACGGGGGCCCGCACAAGCGGAGGAACAUGUGGUUUAAUUCGAUGAUACGCGAGGAACCUUACCCGGGCUUAAAUUGCAGAUGAAUUACGGUGAAAGCCGUAAGCCGCAAGGCAUCUGUGAAGGUGCUGCAUGGUUGUCGUCAGCUCGUGCCGUGAGGUGUCGGCUUAAGUGCCAUAACGAGCGCAACCCUUGUUGUCAGUUACUAACAGGUUCCGCUGAGGACUCUGACAAGACUGCCAUCGUAAGAUGUGAGGAAGGUGGGGAUGACGUCAAAUCAGCACGGCCCUUACGUCCGGGGCUACACACGUGUUACAAUGGGGGGUACAGAGGGCCGCUACCACGCGAGUGGAUGCCAAUCCCCAAAACCUCUCUCAGUUCGGACUGGAGUCUGCAACCCGACUCCACGAAGCUGGAUUCGCUAGUAAUCGCGCAUCAGCCACGGCGCGGUGAAUACGUUCCCGGGCCUUGUACACACCGCCCGUCAAGCCAUGGGAGCCGGGGGUACCUGAAGUGCGUAACCGCGAGGAGCGCCCUAGGGUAAAACUGGUGACUGGGGCU
rnacentral:rRNA from 1 species